UNUGACUUGAGUGCAGAAGGGGAGAGUGGAAUUCCAUGUGUAGCGGUGAAAUGCGUAGAUAUAUGGAGGAACACCAGUGGCGAAAGCGGCUCUCUGGUCUGUCACUGACGCUGAGGCUUGAAAGCGUGGGUAGCGAACAGGAUUAGAUACCCUGGUAGUCCACGCCGUAAACGAUGAGUGCUAGGUGUUAGGCCCUUUCCGGGGCUUAGUGCCGGAGCUAACGCAAUAAGCACUCCGCCUGGGGAGUACGACCGCAAGGUUGAAACUCAAAGGAAUUGACGGGGGCCCGCACAAGCGGUGGAGCAUGUGGUUUAAUUCGAAGCAACGCGAAGAACCUUACCAGGUCUUGACAUCCCGAUGCUAUUCUUAGAGAUAGGAAGUUACUUCGGUACAUCGGAGACAGGUGGUGCAUGGUUGUCGUCAGCUCGUGUCGUGAGAUGUUGGGUUAAGUCCCGCAACGAGCGCAACCCUUAUUGUUAGUUGCCAUCAUUAAGUUGGGCACUCUAGCGAGACUGCCGGUAAUAAACCGGAGGAAGGUGGGGAUGACGUCAAAUCAUCAUGCCCCUUAUGACCUGGGCUACACACGUGCUACAAUGGUCGGUACAACGAGUUGCGAGCCGGUGACGGCAAGCUAAUCUCUGAAAGCCGAUCUCAGUUCGGAUUGGAGGCUGCAACUCGCCUCCAUGAAGUCGGAAUCGCUAGUAAUCGCGGAUCAGCACGCCGCGGUGAAUACGUUCCCGGGCCUUGUACACACCGCCCGUCACACCACGAGAGUUUGUAACACCCGAAGUCGGUGAGGUANCCUUUUAGGG
rnacentral:rRNA from 1 species